UGUUGUCACAAAAUGUCUCGGAGUCAAUGCAAGUUCACAAAUUUAUUGUGAAGAGAGAAAGAGAGUGAGACAGAGCAAAAAACACAGUUCACAGGAGAGCCACACGCGACGACCACUGCCAAACCCAUUCUGGAUGGAGACCGGGGAGUUGGUAUGAUACACACGACUGAAGAUGAGAGUGAACCGGAACCUGGAGACUGAUAAUCCACUGUGGUCUUGGACCUGGGAGAAAUCCACACACGGCUGAUGACAGACGGCAAGAUCACCUCACACGACAGAGGGUAUGACACACACACGACUAAAGGUGAGGGUGAAGUAAACCGGAGAAGCUGGUAAUCCACUCUGGUCAUGGACCGGGGAUAAAUCCACACCCGGUAGAUGACAGACAGUAUGAUACACACACAACUGAAGAAAGCCGCUGGAACCCGGAAGAGACUGGUGUACCGCCUAAAAACUAAGCGAACCAGCUAUACCGGGAAAACAGGCAGAGUUCAUUCGAGGGCAAGUUCACGUACAUCCACAGGCGUGUGAACCCCGGGCAUUGACAAGCUUCCGGAUACCGGGGACCAAACCUGAGAUUGCAGAAGAGAGAGAGAGAAACACAGAACAUUCGACAGGACAUGGCAAGGCAGCAGGACUGUGACCCACUGAAACAAUGAGCGCGCGACGAGAGACAGGACAACGUGCUAUUUAAAGGAAAACACUAAAGAGACACAACAGGUGAACCAUUACCGAAACGAGCAGGCAGGGCUAGUGCACACGAGGAGCCGUCACCAACAGUUUAUUCACAGAACUGAACUUCUUUCAUGAGCUUCAUAAAGAGAAAGAGUCUCUCUGGAGAAACAGACAUAAACACAAUGAACAGAGAAUCUGCUGAAUUCAGCGGUGUGUCUAUGGAGAGUGAUCAUUCAAUGGAUUAUCCACCUAAAUUCAGUUCAGGAGACUCUGGUACAGAUGUGAAUAACACAACAGAUGAAUCAAAGUCCUUCAAAGGGAAGCAGA